AUUGAAGUGAGAAAGACAAAUGAUAGAAGGAUGAAGUGAAAUUGUGUCAGCAUAUUUGGAGCAGAAGUACACAAAAAGGAGUGACCCAUCUUCAAAGCAUCUCUGAAGGGACUUUAGUGCCAUUGAACAUCAAAGACUGAACACUGUUACCACAGACCAAGUCCCUUAUUUUUUUAAAAAGACACAACCAACCCAGAGAGGCAAAUUAGCCCUUGGUUAUACAAGAAGUUGUAAGAAGCAGCGUAUCUCUUAUGUCUUUUCUUUGCAGUU
rnacentral:lncRNA from 1 species